rnacentral:rRNA from 1 species
AACAAACGCUGGCGGCGUGCCUAACACAUGCAAGUCGUACGAGAAAGGGUCCUUCGGGACCUGAGUAAAGUGGCGCACGGGUGAGUAACGCGUGGAUAAUCUGCCCUUCAGUUGGGAAUAACUCAUCGAAAGGUGGGCUAAUACCGGAUAAUGCUGUGAGACUUUGGUCGAUCAGCCAAAGAGAGCCUCUGCUUGCACGCCCUUACUGAAGGAUGAGUCCGCGUACCAUUAGCUAGUUGGUAGGGUAAUGGCCUACCAAGGCGACGAUGGUUAGCUGGUCUGAGAGGAUGAUCAGCCACACUGGAACUGAGACACGGUCCAGACUCCUACGGGUGGCUG